AGAAACAGCACUAUAAAGAAUUCAGAGAAAGUUGAUGACUUGUAUAAACUGAUUAAAAAUAAUCAAAACCAAGCAAACAAUUAGAAUUCCUUCCGUAAUAUAAAGCAAAACAACAUUGAAAGAUAUCAGAACACUGAUCAUGGCAGAGACCAGUUUCAACUUCAGAGGACUUGAGGUGAAACUUUGUUCCCUUAUUUCGGUAGAAAGAUGGUCAACUAUGAAUGUAAAAUGGGACAUAUAUUGUAAGAUGCAGCCAAUGAAUUCAUUUAGCUCAACUUGAUAUGAUACGAUAGAAAGUUAUGUGGGGUGGAGGAGAGGGCUACCGAGAAGUGAUGGUACUGUCUUGAAAAAGCAUUAAUAAAAUGUUUUUAAAUGUUUUUUUUUUAAGGCUCCACUUUAGAAAAAAACGAACCGGUUGAAGAUUGUCUGUCAUCUGCACUUUGUUAUAUUGUUGGAUGGAUAAGUGAAGAGUCAUUAAAGCAGUUUUCAUUUCUCUGGGCACUUCCUCUCAUUUCUCCAAAACAUGACAUGCUAUGAGAAGGACAAGUUCGAAUGCCAAAGUAUCAUCCACAGCAUGACUUUCAUAGCCCUUGUCGCUCUGGUUUUGGCUCGCCGGUUGGGUUCCCCACAUCGCAAGUCAUUGGCAUCUUUGCAGUUAUCUUGAAGUUGAACAGGCUACUAGAGAUCUUCAAGCAGAGCCUAAUUGACCACUCA